rnacentral:rRNA from 1 species
GAUGAACGCUAGCUACAGGCUUAACACAUGCAAGUCGAGGGGUAACAAGAGAAAAGCUUGCUUUUCUUGUUGACGACCGGCGCACGGGUGAGUAACGCGUAUCCAACCUGCCCAUAACUAGGGAAUAACCUUGCGAAAGUAAGACUAAUACCCUAUAAUUUCCUUUGACGGCAUCUGACGAGGAAUAAAGAUUUAACGGUUAUGGAUGGGGAUGCGUCUGAUUAGCUUGUUGGCGGGGUGACGGCCCACCAAGGCAACGAUCAGUAGGGGUUCUGAGAGGAAGGUCCCCCACAUUGGAACUGAGACACGGGCCAAACUUCUACGGGAGGCAGCAGUGAGGAAUAUUGGUCAAUGGGCGGAAGCCUGAACCAGCCAAGUAACGUGCAGGAUGACGGCCCUAUGGGUUGUAAACUGCUUUUAUACAGGAAUAAAGUUAGCCACGUGUGGUUAUUUGUAGGUACUGUAUGAAUAAGGACCGGCUAAUUCCGUGCCAGCAGCCGCGGUAA